rnacentral:rRNA from 2 species
UGAGGAAUAUUGGGCAAUGGGGGGAACCCUGACCCAGCAACGCCGCGUGAAGGAAGAAGGUUUUCGGAUUGUAAACUUCUGUCCUUGGUGAAGAGGAAGAGACGGUAGCCAAGGAGGAAGCCCCGGCUAACUACGUGCCAGCAGCCGCGGUAAUACGUAGGGGGCGAGCGUUGUCCGGAAUGAUUGGGCGUAAAGGGCGCGUAGGCGGCCGAGCAAGUCAGUAGUGGAAGUCCAAUUUUCAAGGUUGGAAGUGCUAUUGAAACUGCAGGGCUUGAGUGCAGGAGAGGUUAUCGGAAUUCCCGGUGUAGCGGUGAAAUGCGUAGAUAUUAGGAGGAACACCAGUGGCGAAGGCGGCUUUCUGGACAGUAACUGACGCUGAGGCGCGAAAGCGUGGGGAGCGAACAGG